CCGACGGUGAGAGGUGAAAGCUGGGGGAGCAAACCGGAUUAGAUACCCGGGUAGUCCCAGCUGUAAACGAUGCGCGUUAGGUGUGUCAGUGACCACGUGUCACUGAGAUGCCGAAGGGAAACCGUGAAACGCGCCGCCUGGGGAGUACGGUCGCAAGGCUGAAACUUAAGGAAUUGGCGGGGGAGCACCACAACGGGUGGAGCCUGCGGUUUAAUCGGACUCAACGCCGGAAAUCUCACCGGAUAAG
rnacentral:rRNA from 1 species